rnacentral:lncRNA from 1 species
UGAGUUAGAGUAAACUGUCAAGACUUAAAACUUACUUACUUUAUCUUUCACCAUGGGACUUGUAACCGUCACUUCUGUCUUGAGUAGUUAAAAGAUAGAACAGUCUAGCCAAGUGCCAUGUCUCUUAUUCUUGAUCAGCUAUAGCUCUGGAGUUUUUGCAGAUUUUCAAAUAAAACCCAGAGAUUCCUUGUAUGACUCUCUCAUAUCUCUCUUUUGUGGUAUUUGUGGAUCCUUACCAAGGCAGUGAUGGUAUAUGCCUUCUCUCAAAAUAUGUGGUAUUUGUGGUAUAAGGCAUAGUGACAUUGCCUUCUCUCUCACCCUACUCUAAUAAGUCUUUAAUAUCUGGAGCUCAUAGGUGGGAGAUAAAGUAUACAUACUUACAAGACAUGUAUUGCAUAGUCAAACCAUGGAUCCAAAGAAACAAGUCAAUAAGCCAAAUCAAGAUGUGCAUGUGUGGCGAAUGAAUGGUGUAUGGUGAUGAUGGUGAUAACAAUGGUGGAAACAAUGGUGGUGGAAGUCUAAUUCUACUUUUGCUCUUUUGAGGGGAUACAUACCUUUCUUGCUCUUGAAACUUUAUGAGGAGAAUGAGAUGCUCUUCUUUUUCUUUUCUUUUCUCUCAGGUGGGUAUCCUGUACCCCUAAUUCUACUGUCGGACACUUGUCCAUUUUUACCUCUCGUCUCACUCUUUUUCUUUUCUUUCGAGGUUCCAGGCACUUGCCCCUUUUUAUUUCCUCGUUUAUUUUUUUUUUCUUUUCUUUUUUUUCCUUUUUUUUAGAGCACUCAUCUCUUGAGAUAAUAUAGCAAGUGGUAGUAGCAAGAUAACUUGAGCAUUUAUUUCACAAAGGAAAAACACAGAUGUUUUUGGCUAUUCUCUCCCGAAUUAGGAGUAGAAUAUUUUUAGGUGAUUCUGGAGAUGGAAAUGGAUGGAUAUAUGUGGAUGGUACUUCCGGAGUAGAAAUAGCAUAUAUAUGAGUGAACGUGCAAGUGAAUCUUGAUUUAACCACAUGACAAGCUCCUAAGGGUCUACACAGCUUGACCACACUCAAUGCUCAUAAGCAGUAAAUAAUAAAUGUGUGGCUCAAAGUCUAGCAAGCAUGUAUAUAUGGCUGUGGUAGGAAUUUAAACUCUCAUCAUACAGGAACUCAUCAUGCAACAUUUUAAAGAUUUUCAAAGAUAAAAUUCUCCAGAAUUCUAGCAUCUCUAGGAACAGAUAAACAGCAGCUCAACCUUCCCAUAUCUUAUCCGUUAACAACUUAUAUUUCAGAUCAAGUUUUCAUCCCACAAGUUUAGAUCUAGAGCAAGCUUUAAAUUAUAACAGUUAUGUCUAAACUUGAGAGAGAACUUUAAAUUUGCAAAUUAGGCAGAGCAACUAUUCAUUAUAUCCAUGCUAGAGUUUUAUUAUUAAGAUUCAUAGCAAACUUUAUUUAUUUAUUUAUUUAUUUAGCAAACUAAGAAAAGGUAUAUAUAUAUAUAAGCAUAAAAUCUUUAUUUGGUUUUUCAUAGUUUAUGUAUUUUAAUAUUCUAAUAUAAUAUAAGUAUAAAGAUAGGUAGAAAUAUUUAGCGAGAUAAAUAGGGGUGCUCUCCCCCAAGCUGAAUUUUGACGUAAUUUCUCUUGAUGUAGCUAGCAGGUGGCAGAGGUGUAUUUGAAAGUCAGCAGCAUUCUGACAGCGAUUAGAAUGUCCUCCGUCUGCUAGUCUUCUUGAUUCUUAAAUUCUGUGGAGCUCAAAUAGACAACGAAGCUUGUGGAACUAAUUAAGUGUUAGCAUAAAUAUCUAUCCUUCAUCAUGUUGAGCUUCCUCAAUAAAUAUUACUCUCUGUUUUUAUAUUUUUAUUUUAUAAACAAAAAAGAAAUAUUUAUUUUAUUUUUAUGCCACCACAGUGAAGGUACUUAUGGGUUUUAUGCCACUCGUAUACUCACAUGGGGCUUAGUAUUUUUUAAUAUUUUUAUUUCCUUUUCAAGAUAGCAUGAUUAACUAAUAAUCUAUUUAAGGAAAGUAAAUAAUUAAAGGGAAAAGUGAAUGCAGAAAGGAUAAAUAUGGAUAACUACCAAUCUUACCUUUCGGCGAGGGUUCAAUGUUUUAAGUCUUCUUGUCAAGACUUCUCAUCGUGUUCAUUCUUCAGGUGCGUCAUUUGAUUCAGGUGCGGACCUUGACGUCUGCACCUUUUAAUACGGUGUCACCCAUGUUCUUCGUUUGCCCAGCAGUUCGAAGUGCGGUGUUAGCAGUAUCUUGCUCAAUGUGUUUGUGCUCGUAGUGUACCUUGCUUGAAGAGUGAUGAUACAGUAUCAUCUUGUGGAAGCUUUCCUUUCUUAGCGGUUGUGCAUCGUGUUUGUGGCACCCUCCAUGGAUCAUCUCUCUAUGAUGAAUGAGCUAUGUCCUUCUUGUGCAAAUUGUUAAACUUCAUGUGUCACUCUCUUCGUCUCUGAUGUGAGUUUAUCUCAGGACUUCCCAAAUCGAUAUUGAAAGUUUUUCUGCAGGGGUUAGUCCGACAAAAUAUACCAAUAUCUACUCAAGCAGUUUUUUUUAGUUCAAUAACCAAACUAGACUCCAUGUCUAAUCAGAUUAAGGAAGGCUAUUUAACCUAAGCACCAUGCUUAAUUUAAAUGCCAAUGGAAGUAUGGCGAGUACUUCCCAACCAACACUUGCUAGUAAAUAGACAAAGGUAGCAUGACAACAUUUAUAGAGAUCUACUCA